AGUGAACGCUGGCGGUAGGCCUAACACAUGCAAGUCGAACGGCAGCACAGUAAGAGCUUGCUCUUACGGGUGGCGAGUGGCGGACGGGUGAGGAAUACAUCGGAAUCUACUUUUUCGUGGGGGAUAACGUAGGGAAACUUACGCUAAUACCGCAUACGACCUACGGGUGAAAGCAGGGGAUCUUCGGACCUUGCGCUAUUGAAUGAGCCGAUGUCGGAUUAGCUAGUUGGCGGGGUAAAGGCCCACCAAGGCGACGAUCCGUAGCUGGUCUGAGAGGAUGAGCAGCCACACUGGAACUGAGACACGGUCCAGACUCCUACGGGAGGCAGCAGUGGGGAAUAUUGGACAAUGGGCGCAAGCCUGAUCCAGCCAUACCGCGUGGGUGAGGAAGGCCUUCGGGUUGUAAAGCCCUUUUGUUGGGAAAGAAAAGCAGCAGGUUAAUACCCCGCUGUUCUGACGGUACCCAAAGAAUAAGCACCGGCUAACUUCGUG
rnacentral:rRNA from 1 species